rnacentral:rRNA from 1 species
AAACGGUGGCUAAUACCGCAUAACGUCGCAAGACCAAAGAGGGGGACCUUCGGGCCUCUUGCCAUCAGAUGUGCCCAGAUGGGAUUAGCUUGUUGGUGAGGUAACGGCUCACCAAGGCGACGAUCCCUAGCUGGUCUGAGAGGAUGACCAGCCACACUGGAACUGAGACACGGUCCAGACUCCUACGGGAGGCAGCAGUGGGGAAUAUUGCACAAUGGGCGCAAGCCUGAUGCAGCCAUGC